ACUAUGGCUUCGUAUUUAGCUGUUUUCUUGUUUGUUGCCUUUAUCGCAUUGGUAUAUUCAACUCCAGUUGAUGAUAAGGAAUUUGACUGUCCAGAAAACGAACUGUACUAUAAAUGUUCCGCGGUGUUAUGUUUUAAAACAUGUGAGGAUGUUCGGAAUCCCCCUCCAUGUGCAUCCAUCGCUAGUGACUGCGUGAUGCCGUCGUGUGAAUGCAAAAUGGAUUUUUUAAGAAACGACAAGGGUGUGUGUGUGCCGUCUUCAGAAUGCUAAACUACUGGGGGCGUCAAUCAAAAUACUGACUAUACCAAUUUAAUCGAUAAUGCUCCGACUUUUUCAUUUCGACAUAUCGCUGGUUAAGGAAUAUUUUUAUAAGUACUUUUGUUUUCAUUAUCAUUGCCUGAUUAAUUUUAUGUCUGAAUUUUUGUCACGUACUCAGACAAUGACAUAUUAUAAUAAAUUAAAAAUGCAUAAUACCAGAAAGGAUAAAUACUAUUGGGAGCAUGAAGUUCACUUCAAUCAUAGAAAAGGUCUGACAUCCCUGAUUAUAUUUGUAAAAUGAAAUGGUGCAUUACAAAGAAGAAUUGUGGUGCUGGAGUUGUGUCCGAAGCGCCGAUAGAUGACGCUACUUUUCGUAGAACCGUCUAUUCUUUCCCCAGGCUGAACACAAUUGAAUACAGAAAAAUAAACACGAAACACCAAUUGAAAGUCUUUUUGGACCAAGCAGCUUGAACUUUACAUCGUAUUUUUUUUACAAAAUUCAACAUGCAAACGUGCAUAUUUGGGGCUUUAAUAUUUGGGGGUUAUUCAUAAAGAGCCAGUAACGAUGGUAUUUAAAUUGCUUCAUGAAUAGAGAAAGGACAUGAGCGGAUGGAGUGGACGUUUCCUUAUUAACUUUGCAGUUCUCUACUUUUUGCGUUACAAUUUAAUCUUAGCAUUACAACUCUGCGAUGAAGUUUAUUUAUAAUUGAUUUUAUUUCGUCUUUGUUAAUUUAAAACGUCUGAAAUUGUAACAUAGAUUCUUGUAAUCCACACACACACAACAUCACGCAUUUAUCCCCGAAGGGGUAUGCAGAGGCGCAAUCAGGUCACCCACUUUU